rnacentral:rRNA from 1 species
AAUAAACGCUGGCGGCGUGCAUAACACAUGCAAGUCUAACGGGAAUGUCGGCUUCGGCUGGCUAGUACCGUGGCGAACGGGUGAGUAACACGUGGGUAAUCUAACCUUGAGUUUGGGAUAACCUUGCGAAAGCGGGGCUAAUACCGAAUAAGACCACGCUCUGUUCGCAGAGUGCGGUAAAAGGCGGCCUCUUCUUGAAAGCUGUCGCUUGGGGAUGAGCCCGCGUCCUAUUAGCUAGUUGGUGGGGUAAUGGCCUACCAAGGCGACGAUGGGUAGCCGGCCUGAGAGGGUGUACGGCCACACUGGCACUGAGAUACGGGCCAGACUCCUACGGGAGGCAGCAGUGGGGAAUUUUGCGCAAUGGGGGAAACCCUGACGCAGCAACGCCGCGUGAGUGAUGAAGGCCUUCGGGUCGUAAAGCUCUUUUAGUGGGGAAGAAUCCCACCCGGGCUAAUACCUCGGGUGUCUGACG